UUUAAUUGAAGAGUUUGAUCAUGGCUCAGAUUGAACGCUGGCGGCAGGCUUAACACAUGCAAGUCGAGCGGUAGCAGGGAGAAAGCUUGCUUUCUCCGCUGACGAGCGGCGGACGGGUGAGUAAUGUCUGGGGAUCUGCCUGAUGGAGGGGGAUAACUACUGGAAACGGUAGCUAAUACCGCAUAACGUCGCAAGACCAAAGUGGGGGACCUUCGGGCCUCAUGCCAUCAGAUGAACCCAGAUG
rnacentral:rRNA from 1 species